rnacentral:rRNA from 1 species
GGGGGGCAGCUACACAUGCAGUCGAGCGGAACGAGUUAUCUGAACCUUCGGGGAACGAUAACGGCGUCGAGCGGCGGACGGGUGAGUAAUGCCUAGGAAAUUGCCCUGAUGUGGGGGAUAACCAUUGGAAACGAUGGCUAAUACCGCAUAAUGCCUUCGGGUCAAAGAGGGGGACCUUCGGGCCUCUCGCGUCAGGAUAUGCCUAGGUGGGAUUAGCUAGUUGGUGAGGUAAUGGCUCACCAAGGCGACGAUCCCUAGCUGGUCUGAGAGGAUGAUCAGCCACACUGGAACUGAGACACGGUCCAGACUCCUACGGGAGGCAGCAGUGGGGAAUAUUGCACAAUGGGCGCAAGCCUGAUGCAGCCAUGCCGCGUGUGUGAAGAAGGCCUUCGGGUUGUAAAGCACUUUCAGUCGUGAGGAAGGUAGUGUAGUUAAUAGCUGCAUUAUUUGACGUUAGCGACAGAAGAAGCACCGGCUAACUCCGUGCCAGCAGCCGCGGUAAUACGGAGGGUGCGAGCGUUAAUCGGAAUUACUGGGCGUAAAGCGCAUGCAGGUGGUUUGUUAAGUCAGAUGUGAAAGCCCGGGGCUCAACCUCGGAAUAGCAUUUGAAACUGGCAGACUAGAGUACUGUAGAGGGGGGUAGAAUUUCAGGUGUAGCGGUGAAAUGCGUAGAGAUCUGAAGGAAUACCGGUGGCGAAGGCGGCCCCCUGGACAGAUACUGACACUCAGAUGCGAAAGCGUGGGGAGCAAACAGGAUUAGAUACCCUGGUAGUCCACGCCGUAAACGAUGUCUACUUGGAGGUUGUGGCCUUGAGCCGUGGCUUUCGGAGCUAACGCGUUAAGUAGACCGCCUGGGGAGUACGGUCGCAAGAUUAAAACUCAAAUGAAUUGACGGGGGCCCGCACAAGCGGUGGAGCAUGUGGUUUAAUUCGAUGCAACGCGAAGAACCUUACCUACUCUUGACAUCCAGAGAACUUUCCAGAGAUGGAUUGGUGCCUUCGGGAACUCUGAGACAGGUGCUGCAUGGCUGUCGUCAGCUCGUGUUGUGAAAUGUUGGGUUAAGUCCCGCAACGAGCGCA